CGGUGCGAUGAUAUUUCCAUCUUUCGGGUCUGAUCGAAUGAGGACAGCAUUUUUCGCUGAGCACCC
rnacentral:snoRNA from 1 species